rnacentral:rRNA from 1 species
UGGGGAAUAUUGGACAAUGGGGGGAACCCUGAUCCAGCCAUGCCGCGUGUGUGAAGAAGGCCUUAUGGUUGUAAAGCACUUUAAGCGAGGAGGAGGGUACUGGUAUUAAUACUACCAGGUACUGGACGUUACUCGCAGAAUAAGCACCGGCUAACUCUGUGCCAGCAGCCGCGGUAAUACAGAGGGUGCGAGCGUUAAUCGGAUUUACUGGGCGUAAAGCGUGCGUAGGCGGCUAAUUGAGUCGGAUGUGAAAUCCCCGGGCUUAACUUGGGAAUUGCAUUCGAUACUGGUUAGCUAGAGUGUAGGAGAGGAUGGUAGAGUUCCAGGUGUAGCGGUGAAAUGCGUAGAGAUCUGGAGGAAUACAGAUGGCGAAGGCAGCCAUCUGGCCUAACACUGACGCUGAGGUACGAAAGCAUGGGGAGCAAACAGG